AUAUUUACCUGGCAGUGGAGACACCAUGAUCACAAAGGUGGUUUCCCCAGGACAAGGCUUAUCCAUUGCACUCCAGAAGUGCUGACCCCUGCAAUUUCCCCAAAUGUGGGAAGCAUGUUCACACUUAUAAGUGGGGGCUAAGCAAUAGGUACACAUACUCAUACA
ensembl:snRNA U1 U1 spliceosomal RNA